rnacentral:lncRNA from 1 species
CCGCUCUCUUGUUUACUCUGUACACCUUUUUACGUAUUCUUGCUAGCACUCCGUGUAAGGUUUACUCUGUUUAGUUUGCAUCCUUUUGCGUAUUCAGCUAUAGUGCGUGUGUGCGUCACUACUCUCCGUAGUCGGUUGGAGGGAUAGUGGCCGCGGCGGGGAUGAUAGUAUAAGGUCAUGUCCUUGGGGGGUGGGGGCGCUGGCAGGGG